AUUCAUAACUCCUACAUUAGCAGUACAUGAAAGUGCUGUCAACUUGAUUUUAAUUUACAGUGUUGUAAAACUAAAAAAAGUAUUGUCAGUAUCAAAAAUUGGAAAUUUAUAGUUGGUUGACACAGCAAAUUGUAGACUGUGUGGAAAGUAAUUUCUAGAAAAAACACCCAGUGUUGCUAAAUUGAAAAUGCUAGUGCAUUCAACGAGAGAAAGAGUGAAGACCAUGAAUAUCGGAGCUGCGCAAAUCUAAAGCUAAGUGCAAAAUCUUUAUUUAUUGAUAUUUUUUUAAUUUUUUUCAUAAAUCAACAUUCUUAUGUUUAUUGAAAUAUACAACAAACUCCUUAUAAAACUUAAAUUAACUUUAUCAGAGAACCAGUCGAUUUGAUGUCCAUUUUAAUGAAGCCUCUUUGGGGCUGCGGGCCGAGAGAGGCUAUAAAUAAAACUAUCAAACGAACUAGUAAUAUUGCAGUCGAAUUGCACGCAGUUAUCCAAUAAAAGGGUUUUAUAAAAAAGUAAGAAGCACUUUCGCCAGUUAAGCAGUUAUCAAAGGCGUCCGCAAGUCUGCAAGAUUUAAAGCUGAUUCGUAAUCCGGCAGAUAUAUAAGUAUAAGCGCCCGUUAGCAGACAAGUAAUUGCGCGUGGCCAAAAGAAAUGUGUAAACAGCACGUUGGCUUACUUUUGGUUAGCAGUGUAGGGGGAAAGGGUCACGUGUGGAGGAUAGUCAUAGUUAAACGGCCCAUUAAACAAGCUGCACACGGCAUUUAGUUUUUGCCGCAGGCCUAAUUGGCCUCAUUAUGUGUACACAGGAAUUGCUAUGCUCAUUUGCGAUUAACCGCACAGAGCAUAACUAAAAAAAUAGCAAUAACAACAACAAAGGAAAAAUAUAAAUAAGACAGAAAAAAUAAAUAUCGAUGUGCCGAAGUUUUAAUACACUUGCAUAGAGAAUGCGAUCCAAUGAUAGAAGUCAGAUGCUGAUGGGCUUGGUUCGAAUAUUUAUUUCAUUAAGAUUUGACUUCCGAUAUAUUUUUUGCAUACCUUAACUUUUUUUUCAUUCAAUUCAAAAUAGUAUAAACAUACUUCGAUUAUUACUUAAAUAUUGAAAAAAUUGACAGAUUCAUUGUAGUGGAAAUUAUAAAUAAGAUGAUGUCAAUCUUUAAAGAAAUAAAUUUCUGGGUUUUAUAAACUUUUUGUUCCUUCUUUAGGGUCAAAGACCGUAUUUUUAUUAUAUAUGUAAAAUUGCCCACAUUGAAAACUUAUAUAAUUUGUUGCAUAGAAAUACACGCAGAGAGAGGGAGAGACAACUUUAUUAGUAAGGUUACCCUUUGAAAACAAUUUUACACACAUUUCAAAAUGAACCGAAACACGAUUUCUCCAAUCUCAGAGCUGCAAAGUGAAUUGAUUGCAAUGGCGACAAGCAAUGUUGAGAGAAGCAGCUCCAUUAAGGUUGUCAAUUAACAUUAUUUAUUUACUCGAUAAAAUGUGUUCUACAACGUUUAACAUAUGCGCUAACAUGCACCCAGUUAGGGUAUAAAAAGAGAUAAUUUUUGCUUCAAAUCAAGGCAAAGUUAUGCAUGGUAUCUCCAUAUACCCAGUACCCCACUCGAAUUUGGUAGAACAAUUUUCGCACACUUGCCGCUGGCGAAAUCUUUUGUGCUUUUAUCUGCCAGACAUUUAGAGGGAUUCAACUCACGGAAUAGCCCGCAUUUGUAUUCCGCUAUAGAACGAGCUAAUUUUACGUUCAGUAGAAAAUCUAGCCGCAGGUCGAAAAA